UUGAAAGUAAAUUGGUUCAACAGCUCUGUAAAUUGUACGGAAUCGAGAAAAGUCGCACUACCCCUUAUCAUCCUGAGGGGAAUGGGCAGUGUGAGCGUUUUAAUCGCACCUUGCAUGACUUGCUUCGAACUCUUCCACCUGAACAGAAACGCAAGUGGCCCCGGCAUAUUUCCCAAGUCACCUUUGCAUAUAAUACCACAGUCCAUCAAUCUACUGGCAUGACUCCCUACUUUUUGAUGUUUGGUCGGAAACCGCAGUUGCCUGUGGAUUUGUUUGUGGGAUUGAGUGCAAAUGAUGGGGGUCUUGACCUGCCCUUGGAAGAGUGGGUCGAGGAGCACCAAAAAUCACUAGAUUCUGCUUAUGAGAUGGUAAACCAAAAAGUAGAGAGCAGAACAGCUCAGAGAAAUCAGGAUGUGGAUGUUGCCCCAGAUUUUCAGGAAGGAGACCUGGUGUAUACCAGAAAUCAUUCAGUAAGGGGUCGCAGCAAAAUUCAGGAUUUUUAUGACCCAGUUCCAUAUAGAGUAGUUCACCCACCUUUGGAUCGAGGGGUAGUCUACUCUAUAGCGCCUGUGGGUCAGGAAGGACCCCUUCGUCAGGUCCACAGGGUCGAGCUUAGAAGUGUCCCUGAAGAUAGCGGGGUGGACAGGGGGCAAGAGAACGGGUUGGAAGAUGCACAGACAAACAUUAAGGGGGAGGAUGAAAUGGUGGAUUUGUCUGAGUCUGAUGUUCGACCAGAUAGUGAGAUUGGUGGGGCUGGUAUUUUAGAGGGUGCGACUUUGGGUGUUCAGCCUCUUUCAGGCCAGGAAUCUGCUCAGGGGAUUGACACAGCCAUCGCUCCUGAGCCCAGGAGGUCAGCUCGGAAAACAGCAGGACAGCAUUCCAACCCUUUUAGACUGCCCUGUUCCGUGCUGAAAAAAUGAAUUUUGUUUUUGGGUAACAGUUUUUUGUGUACAUCGUCGGGUCGCCAAUGCAUUAUGAGGGGGAGGAAUGUAACAGGUGGCACCAGUAGGUGUCACUCUCCAUAGGCUGAGCCUCUAUAAAAGGGGAAGCUAGUAGGGUGGUAGCCAAGAGUUCACUUCCUGUGUCUGGGACCAGGGGUGUGGUCGAUCCAUACUGUUGGCUGGCUGGGGUAGGUUGGGAGGAAAAUGGUUUUUAAGUUUAUCUUUCUCAAUAUGUUUUUUGCUGAUUUGGUGUUUUUAUACAGGGCUGCAUUAACAGUAUUCCAGUGGUAGCGUUACCUGGGCGUGUGGUUGUUCGACGCCGCAGGGUUGUCACUGCUUCCUGCUGUCCUUUAGAGUUUGAUUUUCUUUUCUGUUAGUCUGCCUGGUUUGGAUUGUUUUUCUUUUUGAGUACUUGUGAGGGUGGACUAACAACUUUGCAUUUAUUUUGUUUUCUUUUCACUUCCUGUAUGCUUAUAUUCCUGCUACAUUUUAUAUAUUGGCACCUGUAUUUUAUUUAUAUACAAUAAAGCUUGGUAAAAUUAA